rnacentral:rRNA from 1 species
AUGGAGUUAAGUUUGUCUCAUACGCUUCAUCUUUUUAAUAUCUUUCGUGAGUAUGACGGGAAGGAAAAUUGUGCUCAAGUGCUAGAAGAAGAAUGCAUUAAAAUGCUUGCUACUGAAUCUUUGAAUGAUGAGCAUGAUUGCCAUGUUGUUAGUAUGAACUCCUUGAAUAUUCAUGAUGCUAAUGAUAUGCAAAGCCACAAGCUUGGAGAAGCUAUGUUUAAUGAAUAUGAUAUAUUUUGUCCCCCAAGCUUUGAUGAGCAAAUUUAUUUUGAUGAUAGCAUGCCUCUUAUUUAUGAUGAUUAUAUUGACGAAAGUGGGUUUGGAAGAGUGUCAACUUUAGGAAGUAGUGAUCCCACUAUUUUGGAGGAUGUUGAAUCUUAUUGUGAUGAGCAUGAAGAGUCAACUUUAUUUAGUGAUGAUUCCACUAUUUCGGAAGAGGUUCCCAUUGAUUAUGAGAACAAAGUUGCUAUCUAUGAUGAUUAUUGUGAUGACUUUUAUGCUAUUAAGAAUAAUGAUAACCAUGAAACUUGUCAUCAUGAUUUUAGUUUUCAAUUGGAUUAUGCCUCACAUGAUAAUUAUUUUGGUGAGUUGCUCCCACUACUAUUCAUGAGAAGAAUUUUGCUUAUGUGGAGAGUAGUAAAUUUUCUAUGUUUGUAG